AGCGAACGCUGGCGGCAGGCUUAACACAUGCAAGCCGAACGCCCCGCAAGGGGAGUGGCAGACGGGUGAGUAACACGUGGGAACGUACCCUUUGGUUCGGAAUAACUUGGGGAAACUCAAGCUAAUACCGGAUAAGCCCUUAUGGGGAAAGGUUUACUGCCGAAGGAUCGGCCCGCGUCUGAUUAGCUAGUUGGUGAGGUAAUGGCUCACCAAGGCGACGAUCAGUAGCUGGUCUGAGAGGAUGAUCAGCCACACUGGGACUGAGACAGGGCCCAGACUCCUACGGGAGGCAGCAGUGGGGAAUAUUGGACAAUGGGGGCAACCCUGAUCCAGCCAUGCCGCGUGAGUGAUGAAGGCCUUAGGGUUGUAAAGCUCUUUUACCCGGGACGAUAAUGACUGUACCGGGAGAAUAAGCCCCGGCUAACUUCGUGCCAGCCGCCGCAGUAA
rnacentral:rRNA from 1 species